rnacentral:rRNA from 1 species
GAAGUCGGAAUUGCUAGUAAUCGCGGAUCAGCAUGCCGCGGUGAAUACGUUCUCGGGCCUUGUACACACCGCCCGUCACACCAUGGGAGUCGGUAACACCCGAAGUCUGUAGCCUGACGCAAGAGGGCGCAGCCGAAGGUGGGAUUGAUGACUGGGGUGAAGUCGUAACAAGGUACC